UCUUCUUACUAUUUUCAAUUUCAUUUCUUACUGUUUUGCGCAUAUUGCACACUUAUUUUUUGUGUUCCAACUCAGUUACAAACAUAGUUGAAUUUAACCUCAAGUUCAAGGGAGAUAACAUGAACCCUUUACUAUACAAGGAUUUAUAUUGGAUGAAACAAACUCGAAAUAUAGUUUAUUAACAGGAGUGAUGCGACCGAAAUUCGUGUCGGAACUCUCGCUAUUAAAAAGAUACAGUGGACUAUUGACGCCAAGACUCUGCCAAAGCAAAAAUCAUCAAAAGACUCUAAGGCGGCAAUUUAUAUAAGAGUCUGCCAAAGCAAAAAUCAUCAAAAGACUCUAAGGCGGAGAUUUAUAUUGACUAAAUCGAUACGAUACAGAUAGUGAUUUUCUUAGUGACUUUAAUAAUGAGGAAGUGGAUGUUAACAAACUUUGUUACUUUACUUUGUUACUCAAAGUUAUAUGAUAAAAAAUGAAAAUUCUCAA